rnacentral:lncRNA from 1 species
GAAAUGUGAAUGAUUGGUUUUGUUCUUUGGUUUACUUGCUCGAAACAAAGAAGGGGAGAACUCAGGUCCCCACAGUCGGCGCCACUGAUCUUAGCUGUUGAUCAGAACAGGUAGGAGGCCAGCUGGAAGUCCGUUGAGCAGAUGGUAGGCAGUAAUCCGAGCAGAUGGUCCACGGAGGGGGGGGUUGUACCUGCAGGUGCUCCGAUGCCUAAGUCAGUAAAGGAAUAUAGAGAGCAAAGAGGUACUUAGAGAGAGGUUAGAGAGAGAGGGAGUAAUUGCAAAUAUGAAUAGUGUCUACCUUGCUCUCCCAAGAGGGAGAGUAUUUAUAGCCCCCAGCUCUGGGCCAAAGGUCCUCUUAGUGGGUUGGACUGGCCAAGGCCCAUUAAGAGGGACUGCCAAGAUAUCACCCUUAGAUGGUGGGUAGAGUAGUAAUUUUACCCUAUCUUGGUGGAGAGGUUGUGCCAUGCUGACAUGGAGAUGAUUGGGCAAGCCAUGUGGACUUUGUGAGGGUCUAGGUGGACUAGCAUUAGUCUAGUCCAGAACAGAAGUUGCACAAGGCUUCGCACACCAGCUUGAGGAUUCUGGCUUUGCUCCCACAUUGCUCAAAUUAGGAGCCUUAA